rnacentral:rRNA from 1 species
UCCUGACUGACCGAUAGUGAACCAGUACCGUGAGGGAAAGGCGAAAAGAACCCCGGCGAGGGGAGUGAAAAAGAACCUGAAACCGUGUACGUACAAGCAGUGGGAGCACGCUUAGGCGUGUGACUGCGUACCUUUUGUAUAAUGGGUCAGCGACUUAUAUUCUGUAGCAAGGUUAACCGAAUAGGGGAGCCGAAGGGAAACCGAGUCUUAACUGGGCGUUAAGUUGCAGGGUAUAGACCCGAAACCCGGUGAUCUAGCCAUGGGCAGGUUGAAGGUUGGGUAACACUAACUGGAGGACCGAACCGACUAAUGUUGAAAAAUUAGCGGAUGACUUGUGGCUGGGGGUGAAAGGCCAAUCAAACCGGGAGAUAGCUGGUUCUCCCCGAAAGCUAUUUAGGUAGCGCCUCGUGAAUUCAUCUCCGGGGGUAGAGCACUGUUUCGGCAAGGGGGUCAUCCCGACUUACCAACCCGAUGCAAACUGCGAAUACCGGAGAAUGUUAUCACGGGAGACACACGGCGGGUGCUAACGUCCGUCGUGAAGAGGGAAACAACCCAGACCGCCAGCUAAGGUCCCAAAGUCAUGGUUAAGUGGGAAACGAUGUGGGAAGGCCCAGACAGCCAGGAUGUUGGCUUAGAAGCAGCCAUCAUUUAAAGAAAGCGUAAUAGCUCACUGGUCGAGUCGGCCUGCGCGGAAGAUGUAACGGGGCUAAACCAUGCACCGAAGCUGCGGCAGCGACGCUUAUGCGUUGUUGGGUAGGGGAGCGUUCUGUAAGCCUGCGAAGGUGUGCUGUGAGGCAUGCUGGAGGUAUCAGAAGUGCGAAUGCUGACAUAAGUAACGAUAAAGCGGGUGAAAAGCCCGCUCGCCGGAAGACCAAGGGUUCCUGUCCAACGUUAAUCGGGGCAGGGUGAGUCGACCCCUAAGGCGAGGCCGAAAGGCGUAGUCGAUGGGAAACAGGUUAAUAUUCCUGUACUUGGUGUUACUGCGAAGGGGGGACGGAGAAGGCUAUGUUGGCCGGGCGACGGUUGUCCCGGUUUAAGCGUGUAGGCUGGUUUUCCAGGCAAAUCCGGAAAAUCAAGGCUGAGGCGUGAUGACGAGGCACUACGGUGCUGAAGCAACAAAUGCCCUGCUUCCAGGAAAAGCCUCUAAGCAUCAGGUAACAUCAAAUCGUACCCCAAACCGACACAGGUGGUCAGGUAGAGAAUACCAAGGCGCUUGAGAGAACUCGGGUGAAGGAACUAGGCAAAAUGGUGCCGUAACUUCGGGAGAAGGCACGCUGAUAUGUAGGUGAAGUCCCUUGCGGAUGGAGCUGAAAUCAGUCGAAGAUACCAGCUGGCUGCAACUGUUUAUUAAAAACACAGCACUGUGCAAACACGAAAGUGGACGUAUACGGUGUGACGCCUGCCCGGUGCCGGAAGGUUAAUUGAUGGGGUCAGCGCAAGCGAAGCUCUUGAUCGAAGCCCCGGUAAACGGCGGCCGUAACUAUAACGGUCCUAAGGUAGCGAAAUUCCUUGUCGGGUAAGUUCCGACCUGCACGAAUGGCGUAAUGAUGGCCAGGCUGUCUCCACCCGAGACUCAGUGAAAUUGAACUCGCUGUGAAGAUGCAGUGUACCCGCGGCAAGACGGAAAGACCCCGUGAACCUUUACUAUAGCUUGACACUGAACAUUGAGCCUUGAUGUGUAGGAUAGGUGGGAGGCUUUGAAGUGUGGACGCCAGUCUGCAUGGAGCCGGCCUUGAAAUACCACCCUUUAAUGUUUGAUGUUCUAACGUGGACCCGUGAUCCGGGUUGCGGACAGUGUCUGGUGGGUAGUUUGACUGGGGCGGUCUCCUCCUAAAGAGUAACGGAGGAGCACGAAGGUUGGCUAAUCCUGGUCGGACAUCAGGAGGUUAGUGCAAUGGCAUAAGCCAGCUUGACUGCGAGCGUGACGGCGCGAGCAGGUGCGAAAGCAGGUCAUAGUGAUCCGGUGGUUCUGAAUGGAAGGGCCAUCGCUCAACGGAUAAAAGGUACUCCGGGGAUAACAGGCUGAUACCGCCCAAGAGUUCAUAUCGACGGCGGUGUUUGGCACCUCGAUGUCGGCUCAUCACAUCCUGGGGCUGAAGUAGGUCCCAAGGGUAUGGCUGUUCGCCAUUUAAAGUGGUACGCGAGCUGGGUUUAGAACGUCGUGAGACAGUUCGGUCCCUAUCUGCCGUGGGCGAUGGAGAACUGAGGGGGGCUGCUCCUAGUACGAGAGGACCGGAGUGGACGCAUCACUGGUGUUCGGGUUGUCAUGCCAAUGGCACUGCCCGGUAGCUAAAUGCGGAAGAGAUAAGUGCUGAAAGCAUCUAAGCACGAAACUUGCCCCGAGAUGAGUUCUCCCUGACCCUUUAAGGGUCCUGAAGGAACGUUGAAGACGACGACGU